rnacentral:rRNA from 1 species
UGAGGAAUAUUGGACAAUGGCCGAGAGGCUGAUCCAGCCAUGCCGCGUGCGGGAGGACGGCCCUAUGGGUUGUAAACCGCUUUUGUUGGAGAGCAAUAAGGGUUACGUGUAACUUGAUGGGAGUAUCCAGCGAAUAAGCAUCGGCUAACUCCGUGCCAGCAGCCGCGGUAAU